rnacentral:rRNA from 1 species
GACGAACGCUGGCGGCGUGCUUAACACAUGCAAGUCGAACGAAAAGACGGAAAGAGCUUGCUCUUUUCAGAAUUGAGUGGCAAACGGGUGAGUAACACGUAAACAACCUGCCUUCAGGAUGGGGACAACAGACGGAAACGACUGCUAAUACCGAAUAAGUUCCAAGGGCCGCAUGGCCCAUGGAAGAAAAGGUGGCCUCUACCUGUAAGCUAUCGCCUGAAGAGGGGUUUGCGUCUGAUUAGCUGGUUGGAGGGGUAACGGCCCACCAAGGCGACGAUCAGUAGCCGGUCUGAGAGGAUGAACGGCCACACUGGAACUGAGACACGGUCCAGACUCCUACGGGAGGCAGCAGUGGGGAAUCUUCCGCAAUGGGCGAAAGCCUGACGGAGCAACGCCGCGUGAGUGAUGACGGCCUUCGGGUUGUAAAACUCUGUGAUCCGGGACGAAAAGGCAGAGUGCGAAGAACAAACUGCAUUGACGGUACCGGAAAAGCAAGCCACGGCUAACUACGUGCCAGCAGCCGCGGUAAUACGUAGGUGGCAAGCGUUGUCCGGAAUUAUUGGGCGUAAAGCGCGCGCAGGCGGCUUCCCAAGUCCCUCUUAAAAGUGCGGGGCUUAACCCCGUGAUGGGAAGGAAACUGGGAAGCUGGAGUAUCGGAGAGGAAAGUGGAAUUCCUAGUGUAGCGGUGAAAUGCGUAGAGAUUAGGAAGAACACCGGUGGCGAAGGCGACUUUCUGGACGAAAACUGACGCUGAGGCGCGAAAGCGUGGGGAGCAAACAGG